CGUAAAUUAAAUUUAUAUUACCUGCUCAGUGAAAUUUAAACAGCCGCGUUAGUGUUAAGGUAGCAUAGUAAUUAGUUUUUUAAUUGGAAAAUAGAAUGAACGGUUUCACUAAAAUAAAGUAUUUAUUCCAUAUUGCGAAAUUUUAUUCUGAGUGAAAAUACUCAGCAGAUAUAUUUAGACGAGAAGACCCUAUGAAGCUGCUAGGCCAAAAAGAUAAUUAUUUCAUAGUUGCAGGCUUAUUUUUUGGGGUAAAAUUUAAUAAAAGUAUUAGUGUUAAUUUUCUUAAUCGUAUCCUCUGGGAAAUAUGAAGAAGCUCCUCUAGGGAUAACAGCAUUAUACCUAAAAGAGUUCUCAUCAGAAUAGGUGUUUGUGACCUCGAUGUUGAAUUAAAUACUCACAUAUGUGCAGGAGCGUAUGGGUGACGGUCUGUUCGACCAUAUAUAUUU
rnacentral:rRNA from 1 species